rnacentral:lncRNA from 1 species
AAGACAUUCACUACACCAGAGGAGACAAAGGAAGCACGUUGCUGUUAUUGCUGUUCAUGGCCUUCUUCCAACAGUAAGGGAAGCUAGUUUGAAGAUAAACUGUACAAAGGAAAGUAAAACAAGAGAAGUGCAGCGAAAUGGUGCCGGAGCCGUGAUGCAGCUACAACCUAGAGUUCUCACAAUCUCUUAAUUUCCUGCUGUCGGCGAUAAAUGUGAUCAUUUUGGCCGAUUUGGUUCAGUUUUUCUGUUCCGUGAAGCUGAAAGCAUCCUGACACAGGGCACACAAUGCUGUUGAAGCCAUCAGAGUACCAGGAUGCUGAUCUCCACGGCAAGUGCCUGAGCAGAGGGAGCUCAGUGAAGAGGAACUGCUCCAGCACUACACAGGCAUUCUUGGUAGCUGGACAGUACUGGACCCAUCACAAUUUCAAUACUGGGAAGAGAAAAGCCAGUCCUCUGGGGAAAGAUGAAGCACUGGACCUACAAACUAACUACUUUCAACCCCUGGAUGAAUCUAGGAGCAGAUUAGUCCCGAUAUCAAGGCAAUGUCAAGAGUGAAGGGGAGGAUCAAGAUUUUUUUUGAGUGAUUGUUUCCUGGAAGGAGUAUUAAAGAGAGGCACAGAAGAAUGCUUCUGCAUAGGACAUGAAAACAUACUUGGUAAUCAGCGAUCAUGUGGUAGCAGCCACACUGUUUAAGAUCAUGGAUCAGAAAUGUCUUUAAGAUGUCAAACAAAUGAAAAACAAAAACAAACAUUUCAUGGUCAUGGACAGGAAAAUCAAUAUUGUUAAAAUGGCCAUACACCCCAAAGCAAUUUAUACAUUCAGUGCUAUUCCUACCAAUGGCAUUUCUCACGGAAUUAGGAAACACAAUUUUAAAAUUCAUAUGGUACCAAACAAGAGCCUGAAUAACCAAAGCAAUCCUAAGCAAAAAGAAGAAAGCUGAAAGUAUCACACUACCCAACUUCAAACUAUACUACAAGACUACAGUAACCAAAACAGCAUGGUACUGUUACAGAACUAGACACAUAGACCAAUGGAACAGAACAGGGAAUUAACUCCCUAUUCAAUAAAUGGUG